AGCCUGCAGAGACAUGAACCUGAGAUACGUGGACUACUUAAGUAUUACUUAGUGAGUAGAUUUCGUAAAACAUUCAUGACCUGGCUUUCUUGUGGUGUAGGUAGCUGGGCAGCGGACGCAUACACUAGCCGGUACAUUUAUUUGUCUUCAAAUGAAGUGUUCCUGCACUCCCCUAUGUGCUAUGCAUUUGGUAAAUCUUGAAAAUGUCCCUAUCCAUGUUAGAGCAAGUUAUUGUUUCUUCUAUCAGAAUAAUUGCCUAACAUAUUUUCUGUGUUAGUUUUGUCAUUAAUAGUAGAACAUGAUUCUCUUAGUACGUUUUCUAAAGGAAAAAUCUCCAACAUUUACUCAUAAUUUAUUAAAUGAUGGUGAUAUCCCUAUGUUGCCUACUUGCUUGGAUCGUUUUCUUCCCAAUUUCCUUUUGCUUUUCAGGCUCAAAUUAAACUACUUAUAUUUUUGGUUUACUUAUUUGUGCAUGUCACUUUGUUUUGAUGAUUCCACAUGUUUUUACUUGAGACUUUCUGGUGUCACAAUUUAUGCCAUUCAUGCAAAGGCUAGCAAACCUGUAUACAUAUACGGGUGUAAAUUUUUGUCUUUCAUCAUGCGGAUUCUUAAAUGACCUGAGAACUCGAGCUAGGGGCAGAUUUAUUAUUUUUAACCUCAAAUUGUCCUUAACGUCAUGACUCUCAAAUGCCCAAAGAACUCCAUCAUCAAAUUAUUUGGACAGUGUUUCGAUCCGAUCAUUAGCGUCAAAUUAUCCAUUGCUUAAUAAUGGUUAUACCUCUAUAAUUAUCUAGCACGUGUUGGGAUUCCUAUUUUCUCAUUUCGGUAUUUGAUAGCAUCAUUAAGCAGUUAUUGAAACCAUGGCAUUAUUGUCAGUUUUGCUUCUCUCAUAUGUUGACAAUAAGACUAACACGUUCAUCUAAAUCUUUCAGGUGUGGUGUUUAAUUGGGCUAUUACUGGAUUGGAACAUCUGAUUUGUACAUAUCUCCUCUUCAAUCCUUAUCAAAGAACUAGAUCUGUAAUUACUGGACCAAUUGGAAAGGAGUGUGCUGAUUUGUGGCCUAGGAUUGCUAGUGCAGCCAAUGUCAUUGUGUAAUAUCCAGAUUUUUCUUCAGGUGUCAGUGAGAAGUAGUAGUUUCAUGUUAUUUGUUAUUGAGAAGAAAAAGGGAGUUUUUUAAAAUAUGGAUCCAUAUUUGUAUUGGAUGUUUUUGUUUUCCCGUGACGUACAUGUAUUGGAAUUGAUAUUCUAGGAUC